rnacentral:tRNA from 1 species
GCCGGAGUGGUGAAACUGGCAGACGCGUUGGACUCAAAAUCCAAUGGAGCUAUAAACUCCGUGUGGGUUCGAUUCCCACCUCCGGCA